rnacentral:rRNA from 1 species
UACGUAGGGAGCAAGCGUUGUCCGGAAUCAUUGGGCGUAAAGCGCGCGUAGGCGGCCCCGUAAGUCCGCUGUGAAAGUCAAAGGCUCAACCUUUGAAAGCCGGUGGAUACUGUGGGGCUAGAGUCCGGAAGAGGCGAGUGGAAUUCCUGGUGUAGCGGUGGAAUGCGCAGAUAUCAGGAGGAACGCCAAUAGCGAAGGCAGCUCGCUGGGACGGUACUGACGCUAAGGCGCGAAAGCGUGGGGAGCGAACAGG